rnacentral:rRNA from 1 species
GACGAACGCUGGCGGCGUGCCUAAUACAUGCAAGUCGAGCGGAUCUUCAUUAGCUUGCUUUUGAAGAUCAGCGGCGGACGGGUGAGUAACACGUGGGUAACCUACCUGUAAGACUGGGAUAACUUCGGGAAACCGGAGCUAAUACCGGAUAAUCCUUUUCCUCUCAUGAGGAAAAGCUGAAAGUCGGUUUCGGCUGUCACUUACAGAUGGGCCCGCGGCGCAUUAGCUAGUUGGUGAGGUAACGGCUCACCAAGGCGACGAUGCGUAGCCGACCUGAGAGGGUGAUCGGCCACACUGGGACUGAGACACGGCCCAGACUCCUACGGGAGGCAGCAGUAGGGAAUCUUCCGCAAUGGACGAAAGUCUGACGGAGCAACGCCGCGUGAGCGAUGAAGGCCUUCGGGUCGUAAAGCUCUGUUGUCAGGGAAGAACAAGUACCGGAGUAACUGCCGGUACCUUGACGGUACCUGACCAGAAAGCCACGGCUAACUACGUGCCAGCAGCCGCGGUAAAAC